GAUGAACGCUGGCGGCGUGCCUAAUACAUGCAAGUCGAGCGAAUGGAUUAAGAGCUUGCUCUUAUGGAGUUAGCGGCGGACGGGUGAGUAACACGUGGGUAACCUGCCCAUAAGACUGGGAUAACUCCGGGAAACCGGGGCUAAUACCGGAUAACAUUUUGAACCGCAUGGUUCGAAAUUGAAAGGCGGCUUCGGCUGUCACUUAUGGAUGGACCCGCGUCGCAUUAGCUAGUUGGUGAGGUAACGGCUCACCAAGGCAACGAUGCGUAGCCGACCUGAGAGGGUGAUCGGCCACACUGGGACUGAGACACGGCCCAGACUCCUACGGGAGGCAGCAGUAGGGAAUCUUCCGCAAUGGACGAAAGUCUGACGGAGCAACGCCGCGUGAGCGAUGAAGGCUUUCGGGUCGUAAAACUCUGUUGUUAGGGAAGAACAAGUGCUAGUUGAAUAAGCUGGCACCUUGACGGUACCUAACCAGAAAGCCACGGCUAACUACGUGCCAGCAGCCGCAGUAA
rnacentral:rRNA from 1 species